GAGCGCCGUAGCAAUACGGAGCGGCAGACGGGAGAGUAACACGUGGGAACGUGCCCUUCAGUUCGGAACAACCCAGGGAAACUUGGGCUAAUACCGGAUACGUCCGUAAGGAGAAAGAUUUAUCGCUGAAGGAUCGGCCCGCGUCUGAUUAGCUAGUUGGUGAGGUAACGGCUCACCAAGACGACGAUCGAUAGCUGGUCUGAGAGGAUGAUCAGCCACAUUGGGACUGAGACACGGCCCAAACUCCUACGGGAGGCAGCAGUGGGGAAUAUUGGACAAUGGGCGCAAGCCUGAUCCAGCCAUGCCGCGUGAGUGAUGACGGCCUUAGGGUUGUAAAGCUCUUUCGCUCGGGACGAUAAUGACGGUACCGAGAUAAGAAGCCCCGGCUAACUUCGUG
rnacentral:rRNA from 1 species